rnacentral:rRNA from 1 species
CCUACGGGUGGCAGCAGUGGGGAAUAUUGGACAAUGGGCGAAAGCCUGAUCCAGCCAUGCCGCGUGUGUGAAGAAGGCCUUCGGGUUGUAAAGCACUUUCAGUGGGGAAGAAAGCCUUGGGGCUAAUACCCUCGAGGAAGGACAUCACCCACAGAAGAAGCACCGGCUAACUCCGUGCCAGCAGCCGCGGUAAUACGGAGGGUGCGAGCGUUAAUCGGAAUUACUGGGCGUAAAGCGCGCGUAGGCGGUCUGAUAAGCCGGUUGUGAAAGCCCCGGGCUCAACCUGGGAACGGCAUCCGGAACUGUCAGGCUAGGGUGCAGGAGAGGAAGGUAGAAUUCCCGGUGUAGCGGUGAAAUGCGUAGUGAUCGGGAGGAAUACCAGUGGCGAAGGCGGCCUUCUGGACUGACACUGACGCUGAGGUGCGAAAGCGUGGGUAGCAAACAGGAUUAGAUACCCUAGUAGUC